rnacentral:misc_RNA from 1 species
UAAAGGCAAAACGUUCACUAUCCUGGG